AUGUUUUCCGAUUCACCCUUGUUUCUUUCAUCUCAACCAAACAAAGAACCAAAAAAUGAAGAAAGAUACGAACUAAACUGCACCGUAUGCUACAGAUUCACGAGAUUUAGAUCAUCCAGAGACACGAAAUGUAUGGAAGAGUUCAAGACUCACCUACCGGAGAACUCCGGUAGCUCUUCAACGGUGACUUCGAACGAGAAAUCCAGAGAUGUUGAAGACGCAUGA